rnacentral:rRNA from 1 species
GACGAACGCUGGCGGCGUGCUUAACACAUGCAAGUCGAACGGAAAGGCCCUGCUUUUGUGGGGUGCUCGAGUGGCGAACGGGUGAGUAACACGUGAGUAACCUGCCCUUGACUUUGGGAUAACUUCAGGAAACUGGGGCUAAUACCGGAUAGGAGCUCCUGCUGCAUGGUGGGGGUUGGAAAGUUUCGGCGGUUGGGGAUGGACUCGCGGGUUAUCAGCUUGUUGGUGGGGUAGUGGCUUACCAAGGCUUUGACGGGUAGCCGGCCUGCGAGGGUGACCGGCCACAUUGGGACUGAGAGACGGCCCAGACUCCUACAGGAGGCAGCAGUGGGGAAUAUUGCACAAUGAGCGGAAGCCUGAUGCAGCAACGCCGCGUGCGGGAUGACGGCCUUCGGGUUGUAAACCGCUUUCGCCUGUGACGAAGCGUGAGUGACGGUAAUGGGUAAAGAAGCACCGGCUAACUACGUG